rnacentral:lncRNA from 1 species
AUUAGAGAUUUGUUUUCUUUUCAAAUUAGAUUACCUAUUAUUUUACUUAGCCUCCAAGUAUUAGCUUUUCGAUAUAAAUUGCUACAAUCUCAUUAUUAUGAUAUUGAAUGAUUCAUUACUUUUGAUUUUAAGUCUUGUGCUUGUAGCUUUAAGGCAUAUUUAUCUCCUUUUAAUCCUUUUUAUUCCGUCCUCCUUCCUCCAUCCUUGUCCUUACAUCAUGAUUGUUUUAGCUUCUACUUUUUUACUGCUUACUGUUACAAACGAUCUAAGUCAGUAGGAAACGAUCUAAAACAGCAUGCUCAUAUUUUGGCCAUUUUCAAAAUAAACAGCUCAAAAACACUUGUCUCGGAAAAAUAAGCAACGGGAAAUCUGAAACAAAAAAGACACUAUUUAGAGAUAUCAUCGGGUUUAAAAAAAUUAUUGAAAGAAUUCUUUGAUGUUCGAAAAUCCAUUAGAAGAUAUCACAAUCUAUAAUAUAACAUCUCAUCCCCAUGUAAAUCAAUAGACGACAGUAGCAAACCCCCAAAAGCAACCAUUGCAAAAUCCAAAGAAUAAGAAGAAAAAAAUUGACUUUAUCCCACAACUUGUGGAGAGAUAAACAGCAGCUAUAAACAUACACGGCAUUCCUCUCAGACCAAGGCCAUAAUAAUACCCAAUUUGAAUUCUUGUGGCUCAAGAUGAACUGCCUCUGAAAGCAUAAACACGGAUACGACAUGAUAUGGACAUGCUAACACAAUAAGUUCUAGAAAAGCAAGAAAGUACACCUUGACAACAUGUUAAUGAUAGAAAAUUAAUGGACAUUUGGCUUGUGUUUAUAACGUUCUGGAUGCUGGGUCUCCCGAUAUUAAAUACCUUGUGCAUGUGAAGUCGCAGUGUUUUCAUAUGAUUAUGUGAAAUUUCGCAUUGCCUCGUGGAGACAAGUCAAAAUUAUGUCUUAAGGCCAAUUCAAAGGUACCAGAUACUCUCAUUAACCAAGCGACCACAUAUUGAUACUUAUGUACCACUACUCUAAAUUUACCAUACCAAUUUUUUGUUGUUGUUUUAACUAUAAUUGCACAAACAUCCAUAUUCUAACCUAGCAUUGGAUGCUCAAGCAUUACAUUUGUACUACAUUAUUUAUAAAACCGCCAACUUGUUGACGCAACUAAAUUUUUGUUAAAAAAACAUAGGUUUAUUAACAUUUAGAUUUUAAGAAAAUUUCUAAAUAUAAGCACUAAAAUAAAGACAUCAUAGCGUACCGUGUUUUAGUUAUGUAGCAUAUUGCGUGCUCGUAUUGUUCAACAAAUCAAAACGAACCACGUUCCAGGAACGCUGGGCCAAUCCGGCAGUGGUUCCAUCUGCUCUGCAACCAUGGCCCCAAAAUUUACACGUAUAAAAUGUCCCAGUGCUGCCUGCUAGUAAUGAGGACUGAAUUUAUUUUGCUGGUGAGCCUACAUUACUUGCUACUGCCUCGCAACCACGGGCCCAUAAUUUACAAUCAUGAACUGUCCAAUCGCUGCCUACUGGUGGUGAGGACACCUGGUGCCUGCAGAAACACAUACAAAUAUUAGAUGAUUCAUUCUAGAAGUGUAGUUUUGUUGUUAGAACAGCAUUAUAUCAUAUUUUCUUUAACAAAAAGAGUGUUCCCAAGUUAGAAGGUGGAGGUUGGGUUGUAUACCUGGAGGUUUAUUCACUAACAGUCUCUACUAUUAACUUUUGAUAUUAAAAUUUUAAAAAAAAAUUACUUGUGGCAAAUGCAUACAUGAAAUAAAUUUCUGAAUAAAUAUUUACUAGCAGUUAAACACAAAUUUGUUGAAUUUGUAGAAAGAACAACUACAAAUUAAUUUUCUAGAAGUUGAUGGAAGGUCAACUGUAUGGCAUAAAUAUAGAUCAUACACAGUAACAAUUUAACUUUGAAUGCAUUUUUGUUGUAUGAUAUAAAAAAGAUAUCCUUUUUUCUUUGAUAAUUUUUAUCACCAACACAAAAUAUUACAAAAUAAAAAAGAUUAUCCAUUAAGUACGUAUAAUAUUAAUGCAUUUUGGUUGUAUGAUAUUAUAAAGAUUGUGAAUACAAAUAUUCCUGAUCCAGACUCUGUUCAUUAAUGGUUCUCUAUCAACCAAAAGAUUUUAGGAUUACUCUCUUCACUAACUAGUUAGAUAUGGUUUACAUACAUACUAAAAUUUCAGAGAAUAUUUAAAAUAACAACAUAUAUAGAUCUAUCUAAAAUAAAACCAUAUAUAGAUCUAUCGAACUAGAGUGAAAAAAAGAAGGGAAAAAAGACUUCCAAAAAUAUAAAUAACAAGUGUAUAUACAUAUUUGUCUCAUCAAAGAAACUAGCUAAUCAACUGAGUUGUUAAUUUGUUAGGUUUGGCGAAAACGUAACCUAGUAAAAACACGGUCAAUUUUGCAAAUAAUGUCCUAUGCAAACCAUUUAUCACUAUAAAAAAAACAUGUGUUCUAAAAAUCGGCCAAGAUGGGCGCCUAGGAGGAAUCAACCCUCCAUCGCCUCAAUUUGGCCCUAAUCGUUGCAAUAAUUGAUGGAGGUGGUGGUGGUGCCUACCUUGCUUAAAAUGUUUUUGCGGCCUUUCAGAUGCUUAGGUACUUGCCGAUACGGCGCUCACGUGAUCUCUUCUAACUAUCUUAAACCUUGUUGCCAAUGCAGAUUGAUUGACUCUCUCACUCUCACUUACAACGUGUUUCUCUCAGCGGCUGAGAGUUGAAAUGAAAGCGAUGGUUUCUAGGGUUUUUAUUAUAAGAAUUUGCAUUUAUACAAGUUUACAGGUUUGCCCUCUAUAGUUUUCGCAUACUAGUAAGUAAAAUGGGCCUUAAGAUCUGAUCCUAUUGCAGGCCUUAUAAGGUGUUGUGCAAUCUAUAAUCUUUAUAAGUUGGUUGGGUAAUACAAAAUAUAUUGUUGCAGUUUUCAUUUACUUCACUUUCCUUUAUAAAAUUCUUUUCAACUAGAAGAAACAUUGAAGAGUUUCCCUUAUUAGCCUUUUUAAGGCUUUUCUUUUCUUUUAAACAUGAUGUUCAAAGAAAUUUAAGUUACUUUACAUGUUAAUGAUGGUUAGCGCAGAGAGAACGAACGUGAGAAUAGGAAAUAAAGAUGGAAAGAUGAUAUUACGAAUAAUUACAUAAUAAUAAUAGAUUACAUCACUUUACAUAGACUAAAGAAACUAGAAUUAAUUUAGUAGGGAAAGCAAAGAGUCUUCUACUCAAAUUAAAAGAUAUACAUUAAGUAGACUAGAUUUAUGUCUAAAUAGUAAUACAAAGAAUUUACUAAAUUUAGAAAAACUCGUCCUCAUGUUUUAAAGUGUUGGAGAAUGAGAAACAAAAUGUCUACCAGCGAAGUCUCAUGUUCCCAUUUGAUGAACACAUGUCUCCCAAAACAACUGUGGCACAAUAGAUGAUUCAAAACAACAUGGGACAAUUGGUGUCUAUUUCUUUGUUGCUUGGUUCCUUUUAAAAGUAAACAAAAUGUUGUUAGAUGGUAUGAGAAGAAAGUUGAAGAUGAAGAUAUUAAGAAGAUAAUCGAUAAUCAUCAUAAAGUGUAGCCAUUGACUUUUCAAGUGACUGACAAACAUUCGAAAAUGGAAAUGAGGACAAUAUCUUAGAGACGGGAGUACUUUUUCAUUUGAAUAAAAUAAUUGGCCCAUGCUCGUUCUCUAACACAUAUUUUGUGUUUUUAGUGUUAUAUUAUCUAUGCUUAAAUGAUUUAUUUAACUACGUUUAGAUAUGAAUGGGCAUCCUUGGUUUGGCACUUUUUCAAUAUUCUAAUACUAUAAUUUCAAGAAAAAAGGAAGAAAGGAAAAAAAAUAACAGGAAACUUGGUACAAUGCUAAAUCAACCACCAUGCAACAUGAGUUUGAAAGAAAUUUGGGAGUUUAGUAAAAUAAAUAGAGCAGAAGCUAAGGGAUGACUACGCCUAAACCACCAAUUUGACUUUGUGACCCUAUCGCUCAUGCAACCCCAGCCCCGGCCUGGGCGCAGAUGGUUCACCGCAACGCAAGAAUCCCGCCCAUGUCCCUUCCUUAUGUUCCACAAAUAAUUUGACUAUCCAUAUAAAUGCUUAUAAACCCGCGUGUAAAAUAGUCUAGUAUUCAAUGUGAGACUUCCAUUUAAAGCAUAUGAUCAACAUGCUCACUUUAACCUUGUUCUUUUAGAAAGUACUCAUGGGGUUUUCAAGUUCUAGUUGUUACAGUGACUAGAACUUUCAAAGAUUACAAGUUUAACAAGUCAAGAACUUUCAAAAAUUCAACAUGUAGGAGGGCAGAAUCGUCUUUUAUCUUCCAGAGACAACCCUGGGAGAUCAAGUCAAACCCCGGUGACAACCCAGGAGAUCAAGUCACACCCCGGAGAUAACCCCAACAGAUCAAGUCAAACCUCGGGAGAUCAAGUCAAACCCCUAUGACAACCCUGGGAGAUCAAGUCAAACCCCGAAGACAACCCCGUCCCCAGAGACAACCCCGGAAAAUAUCAAACCAACCUUAGAGACAACCAUGAGGACUAUCAAAAGUUAACAGCAGUCCAAUCUCGCAGACAACCUUGAGAAAAGACGACUACAACUGCAUCAAGCCCGAAACCAACCCAAAAAGUAGGACUGAGCAAAAAACGGAUAUAACCGAAUUACCGAACCGAACCGAAAUAAUUUAACCGAAAUAUUCUAAAUUUUCGGUUAUUUUUAAUAUUUCGGUUAUAUCCGAAUUGUUUUACGGUUUUCGGUUCGGUUGUACGGGUUUUAUUUUUGAGUUAUUCGGUUUAACCGAAUAACCGAAGUCAAGUCAAGUGAUUAGUGAUUACUACUUUACUCAGCCUUAGUCAAGUCCAUUACUACUUCAGAUCUUCGUUCUUCUUCUUUCCCUCCUCCUGCUCAAUCGACGAUCUGCCUUUCCCUCAGAACGUGACCUCAUCGAUCUGCUCAGCCUUAGUCAAGUGGCACGUGACCUCAUCGAUCUGCCUUUCCCUCAGAACAAGAAACGUGCUCUUCGUUCUUCUCCGAAACUCCGACCCACUUCCUUCUCAGAUCUGUACCCAGAUUUGUACCCAGAUCUCUCUCAGAUCUGUUCUUCUCCGACCCUCCUCCUGCUCAAUCGACGAUACGAUCUUGUAGGCGAUGGAGAGGAGGUUCUGCUCCUUGACGGUGAGCUUGCCGGCGGCAGCGGAAGUGGAGCCGAUCAAAACAUAGCAGAAAUAUAUAAAUCCGAUGUUGUAUCACAUAAAACUCAAGCGACCGCCAAAGGGAAAACAUAGCAGAAAUAUAUAAAUCAGAUGUUGUAUCACAUAAAAGAGAAGGGAUACCAGGAACAAUGUUGAUGAGAGAGAGAUAGGAGGAGGGCAGUGACAGUUGCAGGGUGGGCAAGAGGAAGAAGAGUCGCUGUGAGUGUUAAUCAAUAAUCAUGUAGGAACUCUUAUGUUGUUGUUCUCUCUCGGUAGUCGAUAAUAUGUUUUGAUGUUUCUGCUAUUAAUUGCUAAAUAGGUCUUCUAAAUUUGGUUAUUAACCGAAUAACCGAUUAACCUAUUCGGUUAUUCGGUAAUUCGGUUAUCAUAGAUUUCGGAUAAUUGUUCGGAUACCCAAAACAGUGUACUUUCGGUUUUCGGUUAUAACCGAAAUGCUUGUUCGGUUCGGAUAAUAACCGAAUGCUCACUCCUACCAAAAAGGGCAAAAUAGUAAUUUUGUCAACUCAACAUCAAUUCAGCCCAAAUCACUGCAAAAGAGGUCAUGCAGAACCAAAACAUCAAUCCCGAAUGAAAACAGCACAAGACAGCUCAACGGAUGGACUACGAAGACUUGAAGAUCUGGUCAUGGACCCAUCUUCCCGUAUUAGAAAAAGGUCAAAUCCCAUAUCAUUGUGUAGCUCUCGUCAAAGGCUUUCCGGAAAGGUAUAACACGCCUCCAUCGGAUUUCCGGAUUGAAAGUUAUGAAGGUUUGAGCGGACAACACGUUGAUUCGAGUGCAUGUACUUCGAGACAACGGGACCAUGAGGACCGGGCCCACCUGGCAGCCGCAGGUAAACCCGCGGCUAUUUUGGUCUAUAAAUAGACACCCCCAUCAGCCAAAAGAAAAAACAGAGAGAAUUUUGUCCAUUUCAGCUCUUAAUCCCUCCUAUAGUGUUUCAAACUUUGAUAUUCUUCUUUGUAAACACUUAUAUACAUAUAUACUACAACAUAUACAGAGUUUUCAAGCUUCAAAAGCGGUUUAAAGCUCUCCUUGCUACACACUUUAAGAUUCUUUCAUGAAGCUUUUACUCGCUUAUCCAAGCAAAUUAUCUUGGAAAGAAGUUCUAUACUUUCUCGUCAUCGUUUAAUAGUAGUAGGCAGUAGCACGACACAAUAUCAGUAUUAAUAGAAUAAUAUCAAUGAUGUUCCACAUCAUAUCCAUAAUUUAUUAAAUUUCUGUUAUAUAUGGAAGAAAAAAAUUUGCAAAACAACCUCAAUAAUGCUAGCCUAGAGGGGAUUAUUACAGUGAAUGCAAAUUGAAUAUUUUAAUUUAUUUUUCAGAAACAAAAAACAGAUAAAUACAAUAUUCACUUUUCUAAGCAAAACCCCAUAUUUAUCGAAGAAAAUAGUGUCUUAAAUUAUUCUAAACACCACAAAAUUUCAUAGUUACUGAACUGACACCACAAACCUGCUAUAUUGCCAUCUGUUGCAACGAUUAAGGAGCAGGAUCUAGAUAACGACGGUAGCCCCUGACGGCACCACUCCCGGACCACCGUCGGCGACGCAAGGGUAAGGUCGUAAAUAGCUUCGGUAACGAUUUUUGAAAAACUUAUUAAUAGGUUUUCCGGAUCAGAAUCCACCGUACUCGGGGAUAUUAUUAUAUGUAAAAUGUAAA